GCUUAACACAUGCAAGUCCCUGGGCAGCAUCAUCAAAGCUUGCUUUGAUGGAUGGCGACCGGCGCACGGGUGAGUAACACGUAUCCAACCUGCCGACAACACUGGGAUAGCCUUUCGAAAGAAAGAUUAAUACCGGAUGGUAUAGUUUUCCCGCAUGGGAUAAUUAUUAAAGAAUUUCGGUUGUCGAUGGGGAUGCGUUCCAUUAGGCAGUUGGCGGGGUAACGGCCCACCAAACCUACGAUGGAUAGGGGUUCUGAGAGGAAGGUCCCCCACAUUGGAACUGACACACGGUCCAAACUCCUACGGGAGGCAGCAGUGAGGAAUAUUGGUCAAUGGACGAUAGUCUGAACCAGCCAAGUAGCGUGAAGGAUGACUGCCCUAUGGGUUGUAAACUUCUUUUAUACGGAAAUAAAGUUAGCCACGUGUGGUUUUUUUGUAUGUACCGAAUGAAUAACGAUCGGCUAACUCCGUGCCAGCAGCCGCGGUAAUACCGAGGAUCCCAGCGUUAUCCGGAUUUAUUGCGUUUAAAGGGAGCGUAGGCGGGUUGUUAAGUCAGUUGUGAAAGUUUGCGGCUCAACCGUAAAAUUGCAGUUGAUACUGGCGACCUUGAGUGCAACAGAGGUAGGCGGAAUUCGUGGUGUAGCGGUGAAAUGCUUAGAUAUCACGAAGAACUCCGAUUGCGAAGGCAGCUUACUGGAUUGUAACUGACGCUGAUGCUCGAAAGUGUGGGUAUCAAACAGGAUUAGAUACCGUGGUAGUCCACACAGUAAACGAUGAAUACUCGCUGUUGGCGAUAUACAGUCAGCGGCCAAGCGAAAGCAUUAAGUAUUCCACCUGGGGAGUACGCCGGCAACGGUGAAACUCAAAGGAAUUGACGGGGGCCCGCACAAGCGGAGGAACAUGUGGUUUAAUUCGAUGAUACGCGAGGAACCUUACCCGGGCUUAAAUUGCAACUGACGGAACCGGAAACGGUUCUUUCUUCGGACAGUUGUGAAGGUGCUGCAUGGUUGUCGUCAGCUCGUGCCGUGAGGUGUCGGCUUAAGUGCCAUAACGAGCGCAACCCUUACGGGUAGUUACCAUCAGGUUAUGCUGGGGACUCUACCCGGACUGCCGUCGUAAGAUGUGAGGAAGGUGGGGAUGGCGUCAAAUCAGCACGUCCCUUACGUCCGGGGCUACACACGUGUUACAAUGGGGGGUACAGAAGGCAGCUACACGGCGACGUGGUGCUAAUCCCAAAAGCCUCUCUCAGUUCGGACUGGAGUCUGCAACCCGACUCCAUGAAGCUGGAUUCGCUAGUAAUCGCGCAUCAGCCACGGCGCGGUGAAUACGUUCCCGGGCCUUGUACACACCGCCCGUCAAGCCAUGAAAGCCGGGGGUACCAGAAGUACGUAACCGCGAGGAGCGUCCUAGGGUAAAACUG
rnacentral:rRNA from 1 species